GUCCACGCCCUAAACGUUGAAUACUCGACCUUAGCGAUAUACAGUUAGGGUCCAAGCGAAAGCGUUAAGUAUUCCACCUGGGAAGUACGUUCGCAAGAAUGAAACUCAAAGGAAUUGACGGGGGCCCGCACAAGCGGAGGAGCAUGUGGUUUAAUUCGAUGAUACGCGAGGAACCUUACCUGGGCUUGAAUGUUAGUGAUCGAUGCAGAAAUGCAUAAUUCCUUCGGGACACAAAACAAGGUGCUGCAUGGCUGUCGU
rnacentral:rRNA from 1 species